UGGGGGAUAUUGCGCAAUGGGGGCAACCCUGACGCAGCAACGCCGCGUGAAGGAUGAAGGUUUUCGGAUUGUAAACUUCUUUUAUUAAGGACGAAAAUUGACGGUACUUAAUGAAUAAGCUCCGGCUAACUACGUGCCAGCAGCCGCGGUAAUACGUAGGGAGCAAGCGUUGUCCGGAUUUACUGGGUGUAAAGGGUGCGUAGGCGGCUUUGCAAGUCAGAUGUGAAAUCUAUGGGCUCAACCCAUAAACUGCAUUUGAAACUGUAGAGCUUGAGUGAAGUAGAGGCAGGCGGAAUUCCCCGUGUAGCGGUGAAAUGCGUAGAGAUGGGGAGGAACACCAGUGGCGAAGGCGGCCUGCUGGGCUUUAACUGACGCUGAGGCACGAAAGCGUGGGUAGCAAACAGG
rnacentral:rRNA from 2 species